UGAAGAAUGAGUUAGCAGCAGCUAUGGAGAAGGUGAGCGUAGCAGGAAGGAAUAGUAGGUGGCACUUAUGUGAAGGUUGUGCUGUGUGUGAAGAAUGAGUUAGCAUCAGCUAUGGAGAAGGUGAGCGUAGCAGGAAGGAAUAGUAGGUGGCACUUACGUGAAGGUUGUGUGUGUGAAGAAUGAUUUAGCAGCAGCUAUGGAGAAGGUGAGCGUAGCAGGAAGGAAUAGUAGGUGGCACUUAUGUGAAGGUUGUCUGUGUGAAGAAUGAGUUAGCAUCAGCUAUGGAGAAGGUGAGCGUAGCAGGAAGGAAUAGUAGGUGGCACUUAUGUGAAGGUUGUCUGUGUGAAGAAUGAGUUAGCAUCAGCUAUGGAGAAGGUGAGCGUAGCAGGAAGGAAUAGUAGGUGGCACUUAUGUGAAGGUUGUCUGUGUGAAGAAUGAGUUAGCAGCAGCUAUGGAGAAGGUGAGCGUAGCAGGAAGGAAUAGUAGGUGGCACUUAUGUGAAGGUUGUCUGUGUGAAGAAUGAGUUAGCAGCAGCUAUGGAGAAGCGUCGUGAAAGAAGAGCGAGGCAGCAGCUAUGGGGAAGCUCAGUGAAUGAACAGUUAGCAGUUUUGAGAACAACUAACAGCUGUAUUAAGGCAUGUGAGGAGGAUUCGUACGUGAUUGACAGGCUAGCAAGCAGCUACGGAGGAGGGAGGAUAGAACCAACCUAUUGAAUGAUUCAUUUAUGUCUCUAUUUAGGUUAGUUAAGAGAUUUUGUGUGAACCCACCUCUAAUCUUUCGUCAUUCACUUUCC